AAUCAGUUAUGGUUCCUUAGAUCGUUCAUACUACAUGGAUAACUGUGGUAAUUCUAGAGCUAAUACAUGCAAAAAGCUCCGACCGUAUGGGAAGAGCGCUUUUAUUAGACCAAAACCAAUGGGGUCGCAAGAUCCCUUUGUAUGGUGACUCUGGAUAACUUUGUGCUGAUCGCAUGGCCUCGAGCCGGCGACGUAUCUUUCAAGUGUCUGCCCUAUCAACUUUCGAUGGUAAGCGAUUUGCCUACCAUGGUUGUAACGGGUAACGGGGAAUCAGGGUUCGAUUCCGGAGAGGGAGCAUGAGAAAUGGCUACCACAUCUACGGAAGGCAGCAGGCGCGCAAAUUACCCACUCCUAGAACGGGGAGGUAGUGACGAAAAAUAACAAUACCGGACUCAAUGAGGCUCGGUAAUUGAAAUGAGUACAGUUUAAAACCCUUAACGAGGAUCUAUUGGAGGGCAAGUCUGGUGCCAGCAGCCGCGGUAAUUCCAGCUCCAAUAGCGUAUAUUAAAGUUGUUGCAGUUAAAAAGCUCGUAGUUGGAUCUCGGGUACUAGCAUGUGGUACGCUUAAUUGCUGUUACUACAUGUCUGGUCCUAAUCAACCGGUUGGCCGUUGAUGCCCUUUAUUGGGUGUUUUCGGUAGCCGGUACGUUUACUUUGAGAAAAUUAGAGUGCUUAAAGCAGGCCUUACGCCUGAAUAAUGUUGCAUGGAAUAAUAGAAUAGGACCUCGGUUCUAUUUUGUUGGUUUUGUAGAGCAUUGAGGUAAUGAUUAAUAGGGACAGACGGGGGCAUUCGUAUUGCGGUGUUAGAGGUGAAAUUCUUGGAUCGCCGC
rnacentral:rRNA from 1 species